CAGGGGGUAGUUUAUAAAAUAAUAGUUUUGGAGACUAUAGAGAAGAUAAUAUAUCUUUUUCCUGA
rnacentral:tRNA from 1 species